rnacentral:rRNA from 1 species
UACGAAGGGUGCUAGCGUUGUUCGGAAUUACUGGGCGUAAAGCGCGCGUAGGCGGCUCCGCAAGUCAGAGGUGAAUCCCUGGGCUCAACCCAGGAAUUGCCUUUGAAACUGCAGAGCUAGAGUGUCGGAGGGGAUAGCGGAAUUCCUAAUGUAGAGGUGAAAUUCGUAGAUAUUCGCAAGAACACCAGUGGCGAAGGCGGCUCACUGGCCCGGUACUGACGCUGAGGUGCGAAAGCGUGGGGAGCAAACAGG